rnacentral:hammerhead_ribozyme from 1 species
CACUACUGAAGAGUCCCAUACUAGGACGAAACGGCCGUCCAGUGG